CACGUAGGGGGCAAGCGUUGUCCGGAUUUAUUGGGCGUAAAGAGCUCGUAGGCUGUUCGAUAAGUCGGGUGUGAAACCUCCAGGCUCAACCUGGAGACGCCACCCGAUACUGUCAUGACUAGAGUCCGGUAGGGGAGCGUGGAAUUCCUGGUGUAGCGGUGAAAUGCGCAGAUAUCAGGAGGAACACCAGCGGCGAAGGCGGCGCUCUGGGCCGGUACUGACGCUGAGGAGCGAAAGCAUGGGGAGCGAACAGG
rnacentral:rRNA from 1 species